GAGACGGAAAUGGCCAAUGGGAUGUGUCCCCGCCAAAAAGAUAGUUGACCAAGUCCAGGCUGUCGCGUUCUUCCUUACUUCCUGGUUCUCCAGAAAAAUGGAAAAAACCGUCCGAAAAUUCAGAGGCGCAGAAAGAGAGAGAAACGCAAUGCCUGAACGAGACGAGAGAGUUUCUCUCUCCCUCUCCUUCUCUCUAACGAAGCGAUCUUCUCUUCUCACUCUGGGAGAAAACGAAAAUGAGCGUCAUCGACAUCCUCUCCCGAGUCGACUCAAUAUGCAAGAAAUACGACAAGUACGACAUCGAGAAGCAGCACGACCUCAACCCUCACGGCGACGAUGCCUUCGCUCGUCUCUACGCUCGCUUCGACGACGAAAUCCAAGCCACUCGCCAGAAAGCCGAGAAGGCUGCGACCGAGACUAAUCGGGCUCUGGCGGUGGCGUCCAAUGUCGAGAUUCGUCGGACCAAAGCUCGAUUGAUGGAGGAAAUUCCUAAGCUGCGCAAAUUGGCUCAGAGGAAGGUUAAAGGGCUGUCCAAAGAAGACCUAGAAACACGCAAUGAUCUGGUUCUUGCACUACCAGAGAGGAUACAAGAAAUACCAGAUGGGUCAGAAACUGCAGUCACAAAAGCUGGGGGAUGGUUAACUUCAGCAUCUCAUAAAAAUAUCAAAUUCGACUCAUCAGAUGGGAACUUUGACAGUGCUUUUUUCCAGCAAAAUGAAGAAUCAAAUCAAUUCAGGACGGAGUAUGAAAUGCGUAAAAUGAAACAGGAUGAAGGUCUAGAUGUCAUAUCAGAAGGAUUGGGAACACUGAAAAAUUUGGCACAUGAUAUGAAUGAGGAAUUGGAUCGGCAAGUCCCACUAAUUGAUGAAAUAGAUACAAAAGUGGACAAGGUUACAUUGGAAAUAAAGAGUAACAAUGUUAGGCUCAAGGACAAUCUUCACAAGGUGAGGUCGAGCCGAAAUUUCUGCAUUGACAUUAUUUUGUUGUGUAUAAUUCUCGGAAUCGCCUUCUAUAUAUACAAUGCACUGAGAUGAAAUUGCAUUCAAAAGGCUUCGAUCAGCAGCUAUUAUUGGACCAUAUCUUGCCUGGGCUUUCCUUAUAACUUUUUAGCAUCUUCAGUUCAACUUUCUGCAAAGAGUUUACUUCAUUACUCGAAGUACGUCCCUGGGAAGGUCAUUUCAUUAAACUCCUCAAAGUUGGUGGGAUCGGUUGGAUGAGCAUUGAGUAGGUCAUACUGGGAGUGGUUUGGGAUGUAGCAGUUGAUAGCGUUGCCUGUCGGUCUCUUGCUAGAAAAUCGGUGAUAAUAUCAGCAUGAAGGUUUGCAUAUGUAGGCUGUGUCUGCUCAACUUUCGAAAAUAUGACUGAGGCGAUAGAAGAAGAGUUGGAAUGUUGCACGCGCAAAGACAGAACCAGCAAGUUGCAA